rnacentral:rRNA from 1 species
GGGGAAUUUUCCUGCAAUGGGCGAAAGCCUGACGGAGCAAGACCGCGGGGGGGAGGAAGGUUCUUGCGAUUGUCAACCCCUUCUCUCAGGGAAGAAGAAAGUGACGGUACCUGAGGAAGAAGCAUCGGCUAACUCCGUGCCANCANCCGCGGUAAUACGGAGGAUGCAAGCGUUAUCCGGAAUGAUUGGGCGUAAAGNGUCUUGAGGUGGCUNAUCAAGUCUACUGUUAAAGAUCGAGGCUUAACNCCGNAAAAGCAGUGGAAACUNACUAGCUNUAGUAUAGUAGGGGCNGAGGGAAUUCUCUAUGUAGCGGUGAAAUGCAUANAUAUNAGGAANAACACCNGNGGCGAAAGCUCUCCGCUGGGCCAAUACUGACACUAACGGACAAAAUCUACGGGAGCGAAUGGGAUUANAUACCCCAUAGUC